GACGAACGCUGGCGGCGUGCCUAAUACAUGCAAGUAGAACGCAGUUGCGAACGGGUGAGUAACGCGUAGGUAACUGCCUCAUAGCGGGGGAUAACUAUUGGAAACGAUAGCUAAUACCGCAUACAGUGAGAUGGACCUGCGUUGUAUUAGCUAGUUGGUGAGGUAAAGGCUCACCAAGGCGACGAUACGUAGCCGACCGGAGAGGAUGAUCGGCCACACUGGGACUGAGACACGGCCCAGUCUCCUACGGGAGGCAGCAGUAGGGAAUCUGGGGCAAUGGACGGAAGUCUGACCGAGCAACGCCGAGGGAGUGAUGAGGGUUGUCGGGUCGUAAAGCUCUGUUGUUAGAGAGGCGGUAACUAACCAGAAAGGGACGGCUAACUACGUGCCAGCAGCCGCGGUAAUAC
rnacentral:rRNA from 1 species